rnacentral:rRNA from 1 species
AUCGAUGAAGAACGCAGCGAAAUGCGAUAAGUAAUGUGAAUUGCAGAAUUCAGUGAAUCAUCGAAUCUUUGAACGCACCUUGCGCUCCUUGGUAUUCCGAGGAGCAUGCCUGUUUGAGUAUCAUGAAAUUCUCAACCUUUUCAGCUUGCUGAUCAGGAUUGGAUUGUGGGAGUUUUGCAGGCUUCCCAGAAGUCAUGCUCUCCUGAAAUGCAUGAGCAAGGAACCUCUUGUGGACCAGCUCUUGGUGUGAUAAUUAUCUACGCCAUGGCUGCAAAGCAACUUGCCAAUUUGUUUUUGGGGGGUUCUGCUUCUAAUCGUCUCAUACGAGACAACAUUUUGACCUUUGAUCUCAAAUCAGGUAGGACUACCCGCUGAACUUAAGCAUAUCAAUAAGCGGAGGAAAAGAAACUAACAAGGAUUCCCCUAGUAACUGCGAGUGAAGCGGGAAAAGCUCAAAUUUAAAAUCUGGCGGUCCUUGUGGCUGUCCGAAUUGUAAUCUAGAGAAGUGUUAUCCGCGCUGGACCGUGUACAAGUCUCCUGGAACGGAGCGUCAUAGAGGGUGAGAAUCCCGUCUUUGACACGGACUACCAGGGCUUAUGUGAUGCGCUCUCAAAGAGUCGAGUUGUUUGGGAUUGCAGCUCUAAAUGGGUGGUAAAUUCCAUCUAAAGCUAAAUAUUGGCGAGAGACCGAUAGCGAACAAGUACCGUGAGGGAAAGAUGAAAAGAACUUUGGAAAGAGAGUUAAACAGUACGUGAAAUUGUUGAAAGGGAAACGCUUGAAGUCAGUCGCGUUGGCCAGGGAUCAACCUUGCUCUUUUGCUUGGCGUACUUUCUGGUUAACGGGUCAGCAUCAAUUUUGAUCGGUGGAUAAAGGUCAGGGGAAUGUGGCAUCUUCGGAUGUGUUAUAGCCCUCGGUCGCAUACAUCGGUUGGGAUUGAGGAACUCAGCACGCCGCAAGGCCGGGUUUUUUUUUUUACCACGUACGUGCUUAGGAUGCUGGCAUAAUGGCUUUAAUCGACCCGUCUUGAAACACGG